rnacentral:tRNA from 1 species
GGCGGAGUGCGCGACGUUGACGCGAGCCGCGGUGAGAGCGCGGUUCAGUUCGGCGUGCCGAUCCCCGUCCCGCUCCC